AAAUAAUAGCUUGCUAUGAGGCAGACAUCGGCAGUCACUGUGCGGACCAGAUUUUGAAAAUUCAGUCUCUCUCUCUUUUUCUUUUCUCUAAUGCCUAGGGCUUGACGCGCAUCUCUGCAAGUGAUGUGUAUGCCCCUCCUCUUGCCCUGGUAUGUCUGUGACUAUAGAGUCAAGUCUGCAUGCAAGAGCUAUCUGAGUUAUGCAGAAAUGUGAAUCUGAUGCUAAAAAGUGUUGUCUGUGUCCCUUUUUUCAUUCAACUCUCUUCACAGGUACCUAUGCGGCAUGGUUUGGUUGAAUCACUGGAAGACUAAAUACAACGAGCAUAAGAUUGUUUUAUUUUAAAAGAGAGCCUGACCAGGGCAGUUUUCCAGACUAGUCGUGUGGUUCCUGAACAACACUUACCUCGUAUGUGACAGACCAUUCUAGGAUGGGGAACAUGCCUGGACAAGAAGUAUGUCCCAUCUGAGCUUCUAGAGGGAGGGUAAUGCGGGUUCUGUGGCAUGUUGUGGUUGAACUGAGGUUCAGGCCGUGACUUGAAGCUGAUAUUCAUUGUGUAACCUUUUUUAUUCUCUUGCAGAGUGUUAUUUUGGAGAGCAGGUUGGCCCUCCAGUUCAUCAGGUGGGGCCUAAUGCUGGAAGUGAAAUAAAGACCAUGAAUUGACAUGGACAGAAAGUUACCAGUCUAUACCUGGAAAUCUUUUAAAAAUUGGCGUGACAGAAAGAAACGUUGAACUACCUGACAAGCAGUGCUGCGAAGGACGUCCUUUUUAGCAGGAUGCCAGGAAGAAGCAUGACGAGUGGAGCUCCUGGGCACUUCUUCACAACCUUCCCUCACAAGCAGGCAGGUUGGUGCUAUUCUUUUGCAUUCAGGAUCAUGUUUAUUCCCGGAAAUACAAAGAUAACUUAGGGUCAAAUGUUCUUCAGGCAAGGGAAAUACUAUCUCGGUCUUAGAUCACAGUCAUGGUUUUUGCUAGCUAAAAUCAAUUUGUAAGCACAGGGCUGAACAGCCUGGAUCAGCAAAUAGCAGCUGAAUGUAAAUAGUGACAAAACAAAUGGAAAUGAUGGAUAAAAGCCAAUUUGAGAAAACUCUGUGAUCUUUCUCUGUUCAGAUAUCUUUGGGCAAUGAGGGGAGGGGCUGCUGUAAAACUCAAGAUCUGGAUCCCUUCAUGAACUGCCAGAUGAAGACACUGCAAGGCAGAUAUUAUCAGUUCUGACUACRGAUUGGGUAUAAUCCUGCCAUAAGGAUUACCCUAUUUUCCUGAACCUGUCUUCCGGAUUUUCUGCAUGUUUUCCUUUGCCCGCUGAUCCCAGGAAGCGGGUCUCACAGUAUAGAUACAGUUGUAGUUUUGC
rnacentral:lncRNA from 1 species